rnacentral:rRNA from 1 species
AGUGAACGCUGGCGGUAGGCCUAACACAUGCAAGUCGAACGGCAGCACAGUAAGAGCUUGCUCUUACGGGUGGCGAGUGGCGGACGGGUGAGGAAUACAUCGGAAUCUACUUUUUCGUGGGGGAUAACGUAGGGAAACUUACGCUAAUACCGCAUACGACCUACGGGUGAAAGCAGGGGAUCUUCGGACCUUGCGCGAUUGAAUGAGCCGAUGUCGGAUUAGCUAGUUGGCGGGGUAAAGGCCCACCAAGGCGACGAUCCGUAGCUGGUCUGAGAGGAUGAUCAGACACACUGGAAGUGAGACACGGUCCAGACUCCUACGGGAGGCAGCAGUGGGGAAUAUUGGACAAUGGGCGCAAGCCUGAUCCAGCCAUACCGCGUGGGUGAAGAAGGCCUUCGGGUUGUAAAGCCCUUUUGUUGGGAAAGAAAAGCAGCAGGUUAAUACCCCGCUGUUCUGACGGUACCCAAAGAAUAAGCACCGGCUAACUUCGUG